UACGUAGGAGGCGAGCGUUGUCCGGAAUUACUGGGCGUAAAGCGUGCGCAGGCGGUUUUGUAAGCCAGAUGUGAAAUCCCCGGGCUUAACCUGGGAAUGGCAUUUGGGACUGCAAGGCUGGAGUUUGGCAGAGGAGACUGGAAUUCCUGGUGUAGCAGUGAAAUGCGUAGAUAUCAGGAGGAAUACCGAUGGCGAAGGCAGGUCUCUGGGCUAUAACUGACGCUCAUGCACGAAAGCGUGGGGAGCAAACAGG
rnacentral:rRNA from 1 species